AACCUCGUGCCAGCAGCAGCGGUAAUACGAGGGCCCCGAGCGUUAUCCGGAUUUAUUGGGCGUAAAGGGUGUGUAGGCUGUUUAUACCAUCUCCUGUUAAAUCUUAAGGCUCAACCUUGAGGCUGCGGGAGAUAUGAAUAAACUAGAGUUCGGAAGAGGCAAGCGGAAUUGCUGGUGUAGGGGUUAAAUCCGUUAAUAUCAGCAAGAACACCGAAAGCGAAGGCAGCUUGCUAGGACGACACUGACGCUGAGACACGAAAGCGUGGGGAGCGAAUGGGAUUAGAUACCCCAGUAGUCCACGCUGUAAACGAUGGAUGCUGAACAUUGGCAGUAUCGACCCUGCCAGUGUGGCUGUAAUCAAGCUAACGCCUUAAGCAUCCCGCCUGGGGAGUACGGCCGCAAGGCUAAAACUCAAAGGAAUAGACGGGGACCCGCACAAGCGGUGGAGCAUGUGGUUUAAUUCGACGAUAAGCGAGGAACCUCACCAAGGUUUGACAUCUAGCUGCAGACUCCUGGAAACAGGAGAGCCUUCGAGGGUGCUAGACAGAUGCUGCAUGGUUGUCGUCAGCUCGUGUCGUGAGAUGUACCGUUAAGUCGGAAAACGAGCGCAACCCUUAUUCUAUGUUUCAUGUGUCAUAGAAAACUGCCUGCGUUAAGCAGGAGGAAGGUGGGGAUGACGUCAAAUCAGCAUGGUUCUUACACCUUGGGCGACACACGUGCUACAAUGGGUAAUACAAAGGGACGCCAAACCGUAAGGUGGAGCAAAUCCCCCAAAAUUACUCUCAGUUCGGAUUGAGGUCUGCAACUCGACCUCAUGAAGCCGGAAUCGCUAGUAAACGCGUAUCAGCCACGGCGCGUUGAAUACGUUCUCGGGUCUUGUACUCACCGCCCGUCACGUCAAGAGAGUCGGUAACACCCGAACAGCGCACCCGCGUUGGAAGGUGGGAUCGAUGAUAGGGACGAAGUCGUAACAAGGCAUCCGUAGCGGAAGCUGUGGAUG
rnacentral:rRNA from 1 species